rnacentral:rRNA from 1 species
UAAGUUAAUAAGGGCGCACGGUGGAUGCCUUGGCACUAGGAGCCGACGAAGGACGUGACAAACGACGAUAUGCCUUGGGUAGCUGUAAGUAAGCGAUGAUCCAGGGAUUUCCGAAUGGGGGAACCCAACAGGUAAUACCUGUUACCUACAUCUGUUAAGGAUGUGAGGAGGAAGACGCAGUGAACUGAAACAUCUAAGUAGCUGCAGGAAGAGAAAGCAAAAGCGAUUGCCUUAGUAGCGGCGAGCGAAACGGCAGAAGGGCAAACCGAAGAGUUUACUCUUCGGGGUUGUAGGACUGCAAUGUGGACUCAAAGAUUAUAGAAGAAUGAUUUGGGAAGAUCAGCCAAAGAGAGUAAUAGCCUCGUAUUUAAAAUAGUCUUUGUACUUAGCAGUAUCCUGAGUACGGCGGGACACGUGAAAUCCCGUCGGAAUCUGGGAGGACCAUCUCCCAACCCUAAAUACUCCCUAGUGACCGAUAGUGAACCAGUACCGUGAGGGAAAGGUGAAAAGCACCCCGGGAGGGGAGUGAAAUAGAACCUGAAACCGUGUGCCUACAACAAGUUCGAGCCCGUUAAUGGGUGAGAGCGUGCCUUUUGUAGAAUGAACCGGCGAGUUACGUUAUGAUGCGAGGUUAAGUUGAAGAGACGGAGCCGUAGGGAAACCGAGUCUGAAUAGGGCGCCUUAGUAUCAUGACGUAGACCCGAAACCAUGUGACCUACCCAUGAGCAGGUUGAAGGUGCGGUAAGACGCACUGGAGGACCGAACCAGGGCACGUUGAAAAGUGCUUGGAUGACUUGUGGGUAGCGGAGAAAUUCCAAACGAACUUGGAGAUAGCUGGUUCUCUCCGAAAUAGCUUUAGGGCUAGCGUCGACAUUAGAGAUUCUUGGAGGUAGAGCACUGUUUAGGGUGAAGGGGUCCAUCCCGGAUUAACCAAUCUCAGAUAAACUCCGAAUGCCAAUGAAUUAUGGUCGGCAGUCAGACUGCGAGUGCUAAGAUCCGUAGUCGAAAGGGAAACAGCCCAGACCACCAGCUAAGGUCCCAAAAUAAUUGUUAAGUGGAAAAGGAUGUGGGGUUGCACAGACAACUAGGAUGUUAGCUUAGAAGCAGCUAUUCAUUCAAAGAGUGCGUAAUAGCUCACUAGUCGAGUGACCCUGCGCCGAAAAUGUACCGGGGCUAAAACAAUUUACCGAAGCUGUGGAUACCUUUAUAGGUAUGGUAGGAGAGCGUUCUAUGUGUGAUGAAGGUAUACCGUGAGGAGUGCUGGAACGCAUAGAAGUGAGAAUGCCGGUAUGAGUAGCGAAAGACAGGUGAGAAUCCUGUCAACCGUAAGACUAAGGUUUCCAGGGGAAGGCUCGUCCGCCCUGGGUUAGUCGGGACCUAAGGAGAGACCGAAAGGUGUAUCCGAUGGACAACAGGUUGAUAUUCCUGUACUAGAGUAUGUAGUGAUGGAGGGACGCAGUAGGCUAACUAAAGCAGACGAUUGGAAGAGUCUGUCUAAGCAGUGAGGUGUGAAUUGAGUCAAAUGCUUAAUUCUAUAACAUUGAGCUGUGAUGGGGAGCGAAGUUUAGUAGCGAAGUUAGUGACGUCACACUGCCAAGAAAAGCUUCUAGCGUUUAAACAUACUCUACCCGUACCGCAAACCGACACAGGUAGUCGAGGCGAGUAGCCUCAGGUGAGCGAGAGAACUCUCGUUAAGGAACUCGGCAAAAAUGACCCCGUAACUUCGGGAGAAGGGGUGCUGACUUAAAGUCAGCCGCAGUGAAUAGGCCCAAGCAACUGUUUAUCAAAAACACAGCUCUCUGCUAAAUCGUAAGAUGAUGUAUAGGGGGUGACGCCUGCCCGGUGCUGGAAGGUUAAGAGGAGUGCUUAGCGUAAGCGAAGGUAUGAAUUGAAGCCCCAGUAAACGGCGGCCGUAACUAUAACGGUCCUAAGGUAGCGAAAUUCCUUGUCGGGUAAGUUCCGACCCGCACGAAAGGCGUAAUGAUUUGGGCACUGUCUCAACGAGAGACUCGGUGAAAUUUUAGUACCUGUGAAGAUGCAGGUUACCCGCGACAGGACGGAAAGACCCCAUGGAGCUUUACUGCAGUUUGAUAUUGAGUGUCUGUACCACAUGUACAGGAUAGGUAGGAGUCUAAGAGAUCGGGACGCCAGUUUCGAAGGAGACGCUGUUGGGAUACUACCCUUGUGUUAUGGCCACUCUAACCCAGAUAGGUGAUCCCUAUCGGAGACAGUGUCUGACGGGCAGUUUGACUGGGGCGGUCGCCUCCUAAAAGGUAACGGAGGCGCCCAAAGGUUCCCUCAGAAUGGUUGGAAAUCAUUCGCAGAGUGUAAAGGUAUAAGGGAGCUUGACUGCGAGAGCUACAACUCGAGCAGGGACGAAAGUCGGGCUUAGUGAUCCGGUGGUUCCGUAUGGAAGGGCCAUCGCUCAACGGAUAAAAGCUACCCUGGGGAUAACAGGCUUAUCUCCCCCAAGAGUUCACAUCGACGGGGAGGUUUGGCACCUCGAUGUCGGCUCGUCGCAUCCUGGGGCUGUAGUCGGUCCCAAGGGUUGGGCUGUUCGCCCAUUAAAGCGGCACGCGAGCUGGGUUCAGAACGUCGUGAGACAGUUCGGUCCCUAUCCGUCGCGGGCGUAGGAAAUUUGAGAGGAUCUGCUCCUAGUACGAGAGGACCAGAGUGGACUUACCGCUGGUGUACCAGUUGUCUUGCCAAAGGCAUCGCUGGGUAGCUAUGUAGGGAAGGGAUAAACGCUGAAAGCAUCUAAGUGUGAAACCCACCUCAAGAUGAGAUUUCCCAUGAUUAUAUAUCAGUAAGAGCCCUGAGAGAUGAUCAGGUAGAUAGGUUAGAAGUGGAAGUGUGGCGACACAUGUAGCGGACUAAUACUAAUAGCUCGAGGACUUAUCCA